rnacentral:rRNA from 1 species
CGAACGGGUGAGUAACGCGUGAGGAACCUGCCUCAAAGAGGGGGACAACAGUUGGAAACGACUGCUAAUACCGCAUAAGCCCACAGGUCGGCAUCGACCAGAGGGAAAAGGAGCAAUCCGCUUUGAGAUGGCCUCGCGUCCGAUUAGCUAGUUGGUGAGGUAAUGGCCCACCAAGGCGACGAUCGGUAGCCGGACUGAGAGGUUGAACGGCCACAUUGGGACUGAGACACGGCCCAG